rnacentral:rRNA from 1 species
GCACCUCGAUGUCGGCUCAUCGCAUCCUGGGGCUGUAGUCGGUCCCAAGGGUUGGGCUGUUCGCCCAUUAAAGCGGUACGCGAGCUGGGUUCAGAACGUCGUGAGACAGUUCGGUCCCUAUCCGUCGUGGGCGUAGGAAAUUUGAGAGGAGCUGUCCUUAGUACGAGAGGACCGGGAUGGACAUACCUCUGGUGUACCAGUUGUCGUGCCAACGGCAUAGCUGGGUAGCUAUGUAUGGACGGGAUAAGUGCUGAAAGCAUCUAAGCAUGAAGCCCCCCUCAAGAUGAGAUUUCCCAACUUCGGUUAUAAGAUCCCUCAAAGAUGAUGAGGUUAAUAGGUUCGAGGUGAAAGCAUAGCGAUAUGUGCAGCUGACGAAUACUAAUCGAUCGAAGACUUAAUCAA